UGGGCUGUGACGCUCCAACGGUCCCGAUCACACCAUCCUCUCGAUCCAACAGUCCAAAUGUCUCCUUCAAGCAACUUACACAUGUCAUGAACACAUAUGUAAGGUGUUCAACCUCUAAAGACCCGACCCGUACCCGUCAACUAACCACAUUGACAAGGGUAACACACGCCUCUUGUGUUGAUAUACUUUGAAUGGCCUAGUGUCCGCAUCACCUAUUUAGAUAAUGUUGAUGUGGUGACUAAACUCUAUAUUUUGCAUCGAGAGAAAACAUGCAAUUAGCCUCCCAUAUGCUGUGGUUUGCUUUUCCCAUUGUGCUUCCAUUUCCAUCAAUAAAGAACCCAUAUUAGGUGCAAGUUGCACUUUCAAGUCCUUUUUUUUUUUUUCCCUUUCUUUUAGUAAUGUCUGUUAUAAAAGAAUGGAAUAUUUCAAAGGUUAAUCAAUAGUGUAAGCUGCUAAUGUAGUUGUAAAGCGUGUAUUCUUGGUGCUUUGAAGCUAUUCCAAGAAGCCUUGCUUGUGGAAAGUGUUUCACAUGGCACCUGCAUUUUUUUCUUCUUAGAAAUCUGUUUUGGUAGUUCUUGAACUACCUGUCCACCAUUCACAUUGGCUAGAUUGCAAUCCACAGAAAUUGUGUUCAGUUCCCAUCAUUUUCCGGCUAGCUCCCUUGAUUUGUUGAUGUUAUCUGUGGGCUAGUCAGAGGGCUACAUGUGUUUUUCCUACAAUAGAAUAAUGUAUUCAACACACCAUAUCAAGUCAUAUCUUGCCCCCGAUCACCUGUCAUGAAUAAAUGGGAUGUGCUACCUUUUAUCAUUAAUGCUGCAUUUGGAACAUUGGUGAUUUUAUUGUGGACAUAUUUUUUUGAAGAGGAAAUGACAGGAGUUAAUGGUGUUUCCUAGUGUUCAUAUUGAUGAAAAUUUCCUUCAGAUUGCAGUUAUGUUUCACUUGAGAGUUGAUACCAACUCGAAAUUAGUGUACUUGCAGUUUGUAGUCCAGGCGCUUGAUAUGACUGCUUAGGAGAUCAUAUUUUUGUUAUUUCAUUCUUAUUAGACUUGUGUCUGCAGUUCUAUUCAAUACUGGAUACCCACACAACAGGAAUUAUCAAAAACUAUAUUUUUUUUAGGCUAAUAAUGGUGUUGGGAUUUUCUUUCACUUCAGUGAUUUUUUAUUCAUCGAGGACAUGCAUGGGAUUGGAACCAAUCAUCGUGUAGGCUAUAGCAUGGUUCUUGCAGAUCCCAAAAAACACACUGAUCUGACAAUCCCAACUGUUUUUGGGAGAAUUUUCAGGUAAAGUGGUUAUAAUAUAGGGUGGAUAUAUUAUAGGCAAGUCAGCCAAAGUGCCUUGUACUGUCUAUUUGUUUCCUAAAAAGUCCCCAAUCUGAGGGUUACGAUUGUCCAGUCAAUGUAAAUACUGGGACAUGGCCCGUCCAAUUUAGGGCCUACCUGAUGAUUGAUUUAGAUCUUGGGCAUGUUGAGCCACUUGGCAUUAAAAAUUAGGUAAUGCAGAAGCAGAGGCACAGUCUGUGCUAGAUGUAGUUAAGAUAUGUAGAAAUUUGGCCCCUAUAAUGUGAACAUCAAGUCAGACUCAAAGGUGGUGGUGGAAAGCAUUAAAACAAGACACUCCCUCACUGUGGAAAAUAUGGUCAAGCGUGAGCACUGAUAUCUGAAUCGCACAAUCAGUUGUAGAGAAAGGGAAGACAGGCAGAUGGUGGAUGGCCUUGGUCGCUUGGGAAGCGGCUUAUGCAGAAAUAUGAUAUUCUGAAGGACAGAGGAACUCCCAAGGGGGAUUUGUGGUCACUUGGUGAUUGACAAAGCAGGGAGAUAACAGAUAGGAAACAAUGGAGUCCGAUAAGGUGGUGUGCUCCACCUUUUGGUCAAAAAAAUAAA